GCCCAAGUAGGCUACAUAAACCACCCAGUUUGAAUGAAAAUUUGAAUGAAAAAACUGCGAGUGGAACAGCGGACAUCUCGGACUUGGGCCCCCCUUCAUCAAACGUCACGUGAUCGCCGCGGAAGUUUUUCUGGGGAUUCUUUACUUGCUGCAAUGUUUUCUAGGCGUGAGAAAAUGUUAUCCGCUCCGCGAAUUGAAAACAACCUUUCUUUGAAACGACCCUACUAGAAAACGUGUCUUUCUUCUCAGAAUAAAGGUUUUGAAUCGGCAUCGGAGGUCUUCGUUUGGCCCCGGGUAGACGUGACGCGCACAAACGCAGGCCGACGGGAGAUGUGGAACUCGGAGGCGUGUGUGCCUGUGCGGGAGUGGCUGUCUGUGCUGCGGUUGGAGCAGUAUGACCAGGCGUUCCAGGAGGCGGGCCUGCUAACAGUCAAGGACUGCUCUGUCCUGACCCCUGACCUUUUGGAGAGGAUGGACAUCACCCUGCCCGGGCACCAGAGACGCAUACUGGCCAGCCUGAACAAAACCCUCCAAACUCCCCCUGACCCACACGCUCCGCCCAGGCAGACACACACUCACCCCCCCCCCGAAAGGGAUCUCCACGCCGUUCCAGGGGAAGAGGGAGACCAUGGAGAGGAAGAGAGACCAGCCUCCAGAAACCAGCCCAGCCCCAAGGCCAGAGAGAGAGUAGUGCCUGCCCCUAGACAAAGGCACGGGAGAGACAAACCGGUUCCCAAAGAGAGACCAGUGUCAAGAACAAGAGAGCAAGAGAGAGAUGGACACCGAGAGAGACAGGUGUGCAGUGCGGAGACGAGUGGAGAGUUGAAGAAGCCUGUCCCUAAGGAGAGGACUAAGUAUCACUCUGUUCAUGUGGACCCCAACUCCCCCACCGCGCACCCUCCCCUCCCAGAGGGCCCCCAGGACCCCCCGCUGCCCCCCAUCCCGCCACGAAGCACCCCUAACUGCCCCCCUCAACGCUUCACCCCGACCCCUACCCCCACGCCCCCCUCACCUCAACUCAGUAGCAUUCCUGCCUCUAUAGCACCCCCAACCCGCACCUUCUCGCAUCCUUCGCCCGACACCCCAUCCCUCCAAACGCGCCCCAACUCUCCGGCCCUGUUCCUUCCCACCCCCCAGCCUAAACAGAGGGGUAAGGGGAGGAGAAAAUCCCCCCCCAUUUCCCCGUCAGCCUCCACCUCCUCCUCGUGCUCCCUCAUCUCCUCGUCCUCCUCCUCCUUCUCCUCUUCCUCUCUGGAGCAGUCUGAGGACAGGGGAGCUCCACCCCUCCCUCCCAAAAGCUCUGCUGCAGGGGCGGGCCCAAAUGGACCACCACCAAUCCCACGCCGGACCCCAGUCCGGCCCAAUGAAAGCACACCUCAAAGCGACUCUCCUGUCAGCGAGACGCCCGCGGGCCCCACGCCGCGCGUUCCGCCCCGCAGCAAGACGCCUUGCGCGGCCGACAGCACGCCACUCCUCGCCCGGGCUGCGACGCCGCCGGACGUCCUGCUGGCUGUGCCAGUGAGAAUUGUCCCCGAGGCCCCCCCCCCUGUGAUCAGGUCAGAAUCAGUUGACAGCUCUGAAUACUAUGAAGAUGUAGAUCCUGGAUACGUACCCCAGUCUGUCAACAUAGUGAGCAGGGAAAUGUUCCUGCCGGUGCCUGGACAAGGGAAGGGGCGGUACAACUCCCUCUGCAGUGACGAUGAGCAACUAGAUGACGACAAUGAGCCGAUCACAAUCAAUCGUAACUCGUGGUUAGACUACGGCAUCAGCACCCUUCAGGGGAGUGUCUACCUGCCCAGCAAUGGACGCCUGGCCCCGCCCCCUCAGGAAGACCCCGCCCACCUCAGUGUCAUCAAGAUGGGUUGGCUAGACAAGAACCCACCGCAGGGGUCUCUCUACUACCAGAGACGCUGGGUGAAACUGGAUGUGGAUCACCUCAGAUACUUUGACAAUGACAAGGAAGUGUACUCCAAGAGGAUCAUCUCCACCUCCGCCAUCACAGGGGUCAGCAACGUGGGCGAGCUCAAGUUUGAGGUGGUCACGCACAACCGCAACUUUCUCUUCAGGGCAGAGACGGAGACGGAGAGGAAGGAAUGGGUGUCAGUGCUGCAGGACUGUGUCCGGGGUCGCCAGACCAGCUCUGGCUUCGCCCCUGCUUCACCUUUGACCCCUGAGCAGCAAGGCUACCUGGAGUUGAAAGGACUGCGCUCCAAACUCUACACGGUGGUGUGUGGCGAGAAGGUCUUCCUCUACAAGAACUUGGAGGACUACCGUCUAGGCGUCGGCAUCAGCUCCAUUGAGAUGAACGUAGGAAACGUCAAAGACACAGACCGUCGCAGCUUUGACCUUACCACACCCUAUCGCAUAUUCAGCUUCAUCGCCGAGUCGGAGCAGCUGAAGGACCAAUGGGUGGAGGCCAUGCGGGACUCCAUUGGAGAGGCGCUGUCCAAUAGCGAGGUGGCUGAGCAGAUCUGGGCCGAGCCUAGCAACGGUUACUGUGCCGACUGCCGAGCCACCAAACCUGAGUGGGCGUCCAUCAACCUGUGUGUGGUGGUGUGUAAACGCUGUGCAGGAGAGCACCGAGGGCUAGGGCCCAGCAUCUCCAAGGUCCGCAGUCUGAAGAUGGACAGGAAGGUGUGGACCGAGGAGCUCAUAAAGGUGUUCCUGUUACUAGGUAACGAGCGUGUCAACGGGUUCUGGGCGGCGAACGUCCCGCCCAGUGAGGCCCUGAGCCCGUCCAGCUGCACCGAGGACCGCCGCCGCUUCAUCGGCAACAAGUACCGCCACGGAAAGUACCGGAAGUACCACCCCCUCUAUGGCAACCAGAGAGAGCUCAACAACGCGCUGUGUAUUAACGUCCAGUGCAGUGAUGUUCUGGAGACCCUGAGUCUGUUGUUCUGUGGGGCCGAUGUGAACUGCUCCUCAGACCAGGCUGACUGGCCCUCGCCCCUCACCCUCGCCCAGGCCCACGCCCCCUCACCCCUCGCCCUCGCCCAGGCCCACGCCCAGACACUGCAAUCUGAGUUCCUCAGCCACAACCAAAACACAGAGCUGCCUCGGUUGGAGGUGGGUGGGCUGAUGGAGGCGGUUCAUUACUCCGCCCCCUCCUCCGUCUCCUACAAUGGCUUCCUGUUCAAGACCGGCUCUAUGGCUCGGCCAAUCACGGAGCGCAAGACCAAGGAAGAGUUCAGCCGUCGCUGGUGCACACUGAACGAUGGCUGCUUCAGCUACUACGAGAGUGACAAGAACUCCACCCCCAACGGCAUGCUGAAGUCCGCGGAGAUCGUCUGUCUCGCCGUCAACACGCCUGACAAACACGGGUACGAGCACACGUUUGAGCUCUACUCGGACUCUGAGCGUUUGUAUCUGUUUGGUACAGACGACCCAGAGAGCCACAGGGAGUGGGUCAAGUCCAUCACCAAGACAUUGAUCCCAGCCAGUGCAGAGCCCUUGCUGAGGCUGGGCUUUGAGCGGAUUGGUAGGCUGCGGUAUAAGGACGGGCUGAACCUGCAGAGCCCUCGGGUCGGCUGGUUUGCGCUGGUCGGCUCGUCGCUCCACGCGUACCUGGAGGACGGCGAGGGAGAGGAGAUCCACCUCCGGAAGCUGCAGGAGCUGUCCAUCCAGCAGGAGAAUGAGGUGCUGGUGCUGGUGGAGCGAGGGAGGACCCUGUACAUGGAGGGGGAGAGGAAGCUGGACUUUGUGGGCUGGUGCGGGGCCAUCCAGAGAGCAGCAGGCAGCAGUGGAGACUCUCUCAGCCAACAGCAACUCACUGAGACGGACAUUCCUGUCCUGGUGGACCGCUGCAUAGACUACAUCACACAAUGUGGCCUGACGUCCGAGGGCAUCUACCGUAAGAGUGGCGUGAACUCGCGCGUGGCGGCGCUGUGCGAGGCGUUCCGGCAGGACGCCAGGAGGGUGCGUCUCCGGGAGGGGGAGAACCAGGUGGACGACGUGGCCACCACGCUCAAACGCUUCUUCAGAGAGGCCGAGGAGGGCCUGUUCACCUCCCAGGACCACCAGGCGUGGCUCAGCACACCUGUCCUCCAGGAUGACAGUUUAAAGAUCUCUCAGUACCAGCUACUGCUCAACAGGCUGCCUCGGGUCAACAAGGCCACACUGCGAGCACUGGUCAACCACCUGUAUUGUGUGCAGCGGUUUGCAGAGCUGAAUCAGAUGAAUCUUCAUAACUUGGCCAUUGUGUUUGGGCCUACACUGUUCCAGACCGAUGGGAAAGACUAUACUGCCGGCCGUGUCAUAGAAGACCUCAUCCAGCACUACACACAGAUCUUUGAUGUUGACGAGCAGCAGCUAAAUAGGCAGCUGGAUGAGAUCACGGUCAUCAUCAAGGUUCGAGAGAAUCUCAACGCCAAGGUCCCUGCGUCUGGCUCUGGGGACUUCAUCUGCACGGUGUACCUGGAGGAGAAGAAGGAGACGGCCGAGCAGCACGUCAAGAUCCCUGGCUCCAUGACGGCGGCUGAGCUGACCUGUGAGAUCCUGGACAGACGGAAGAUCACGGUCAGAGAGAAGGACUACUGGAGCUGCUGGGAAGUCAGCGAGAAGGAGGAGACUGAACGCCCGCUGCACCAUCUGGAGAGAGUGUUGCCUAUCUUACAUUCUCUGGGCACAGACUCUCAUCUGCUGAUCAAGAAACAAGUUUCCAUGGAGGCUAUGCUCAUCUACCUGGCCAGUAAAGUGGAUGUGUCCAAACAUGGAAUGGUAAAGUUCCGGGAGGAGAGGAGCAUUCUGGGAUUGGGCCUAAGCUCCGGAAGUUUCCAUGACCGCUACUUUAUCCUCACUACUGGUUCCUUUAGGAUGUACAAGGAAGUACGGAGUAAUCGUCCAGAGAGGGACUGGAAUGUGAAGAAUCUGAAGGUGUACCUUGGCAUUAAGAAGAAACUGCGUCCACCCACCUGUUGGGGUUUGACAGUCGUCUACGAGGGGGACAAACUGGAGAAGUGGUAUCUCUGCUGUGACACCCAGUUGGAGAUGAGGGAGUGGUACGCCAGCUUCCUUAGUAUCCAGUUUGAGGGUAACGUAUGGCCUACUGAUGCGGUGCACCUGCGUGUGUCCCGGGCGUUGCCAUUGGAUACGCGUCACGGUAAUGUGUCGUUGAUUCCGUUGCGAGGCAGCGAAAAUGAAAUGCGGAACAGCGUAGCAGCUUUCAGCCAAGACCCGCUUGCUGUGAGUCGAUUUCUGCAAUCACCGGGUUUAAUCGAGUGCUACCGGCCAAUCAGAGAGCUCAAUCGAGGGCUCCAGGCCUAUCGGAAACCUCCUUGUUGACCCUGGGAUCCACUACCACUCUGCUCGCUCCUUGUGAGGCUGACCGGUAACCCCUAGGUCAACUUGGAACCUCUGACCUCCUGAUUCACUGUGAUUGGCUAGUCAGCUUCACCCAUGCACACACACACACACGGCUUGGCAGAUAUCUGUGUAGUUCCACAGCUGGGCUAGUUUAACAGGACAGUAUUGAUGACAUAGAAUCAAUAUGGUGGAAUGGUAUGAGAUAUUCCAUGGCUCUCUCUAUCUAUAGCUGGCCUUUGUAUAACCCUGGGAAGGUGCAGUGAGGGUUUGUGUGUGUGUGUUUGGUGGGUUGUGCUUUGGUGAGCUUGAGGUUCCAAUAUAGCUUCUAUAGUCAGCCGGUGCCCCAGGGUGUGUGUGUGGAUAUGUGCAUCGAGUUUCCGUGUGUGUGUUCUUUUUGUUUUUUAAUUUACUGUUUUGAUUCCGUGCGGUGCAUAUGCAUUAUUCUGUGCCAAUGUUAUCUCUGUGUGUUUGUCUGUGUGUUUGUUUAGAUGUGUGUCUGUCUGUGUGUGUGUGUGUCUGUGUGUGUGUGUGUGUGUCUCAGAGACAGAGACAGAGAGAGAGAAAUGAAUGAAUGCUGAUGUACAUGUCUGUCUAGCGUGCUUUCAUGAAUGCAAGCAGUCUGAACACGGAUUGUAUUUGACAUGCCUGUUAGCCUUCCCCCUCACACAUGGCUUGGUUCCUCAGCCCAUGUGUGUGUGUGUGUGUGUGUGCGUGUGCGUGCGCAUGUGUGUGUGUGUGGAUCUCAAUCUCUCUCUCUCCUCCCUCAGCUUUUUAGAGAUGUGCGAUGAUGGACCCGGAUGCAGGAGGCACACCAGCCACACAAUCACUUGAACAUUCCAGCAACAACAUUCCAGAGCCCUACCUGAAUGAUUCAAACACACACAGGCAUUCACAGACACACACACACACACACACCUGCGCCAGUAAACUGGACCCCCGCCCCACCCCCUUCGCAGGCCUUCCCCCUGUGUUCCACCUUCCCCCACGUCCGCCACACCCCACCCUUCCCCUCCCCAGAACUGCCGGACAGGAAGUGACCUCACAACUGCGCUGCAUUGGCGGGGAUACCUGAAGAAGGGUCCGAGAGACUGUAGUUCUCCGGAGACAAGGAGAGGAGGCCCAGCACAGGCUAGCAGUGGGACCAAGGGGGGAGAGCGUCCACCCAGCUCCAGCACUGUCUGAACGUGGACCCCCGUCACGUCCACAGACAGCUCAUGGAGUUACAGUUGCGAAGACGAUUAACUUUUUCUAGUUUCAAUAUUGACUGACAAUCUGGCUCUCUGUUCUUGUCUAGGUCCUCCUGCUUUCGUCUCCCCACUAGCUCCCUUCUCGUUCUGGAGGCCGUAUUCCUCCGUCGCUCUCCGCAUGCAUCCCCAUCUUCGUGUCUCUGCUUCCCUCUGUCAUCCUCCAGCUCUCUUCCCUCAGAUCCUCCCAUGACUCCCGACAUCCUUCCUCAAUUUUAACACGUACUUAUUUAUUUUUCCCGGAGAGCGAGGUUGGCUUUUUGGCCGGUGUUACAUUUUGCCGUAGGCCUAACAUGUAAAUACACACACGUUUUCAGUACACGUAUACACACAGUCCUCUAUGUUCCCAGUAUGUGCGUGUAAACCUUCCUUUGUUCCAAGACACGGCAAGAAAACGUGUUUCUCUCGUGUUUUUUCUUCUUCUCUUUGUCUGGAUUGGAUGUAUAUUUCUCCAGUGUUUACUUAAGUCUAAUAAAUAAAUCUGUGUCGGUCAGA